rnacentral:rRNA from 1 species
CCUACGGGAGGCAGCAGUGAGGAAUAUUGGUCAAUGGGCGCGAGCCUGAACCAGCCAAGUCGCGUGAGGGAAGACGGUCCUAUGGAUUGUACACCUCUUUUGUCGGGGAGCAAAAGACGCCACGCGUGGCGUUCCGAGAGUACCCGAAGAAAAAGCAUCGGCUAACACCGUGCCAGCAGCCGCGGUAAUACGGAGGAUGCGAGCGUUAUCCGGAUUUAUUGGGUUUAAAGGGUGCGCAGGCGGAAGAUCAAGUCAGCGGUAAAAUUGAGGGGCUCAACCUCUUAGAGCCGUUGAAACUGGUAUUCUUGAGUGAGUGAGAAGUAUGCGGAAUGCGUGGUGUAGCGGUGAAAUGCAUAGAUAUCACGCAGAACUCCGAUUGCGAAGGCAGCAUACCGGCGCUCAACUGACGCUCAUGCACGAAAGUGUGGGUAUCGAACAGGAUUAGAUACCCCUGUAGUC